ensembl:snRNA U6 U6 spliceosomal RNA
GUGCUCACUUCAGCAGCACACAUACUAGAAUGGGAACAAUGCAGAGACAAGCAUGACCCUGCACAGGGAUGACGUGCACAUUUGUGAAAUCUUCCAUAUCUUU